CAGUCGCCACGGGAAUACGUAGGUGGCAAGCGUUGUCCGGAAUUAUUGGGCGUAAAGGGCUCGCAGGCGGUUUCUUAAGUCUGAUGUGAAAGCCCCCGGCUCAACCGGGGAGGGUCAUUGGAAACUGGGAAACUUGAGUGCAGAAGAGGAGAGUGGAAUUCCACGUGUAGCGGUGGAAUGCGUAGAGAUGUGGAGGAACACCAGUGGCGAAGGCGACUCUCUGGUCUGUAACUGACGCUGAGGAGCGAAAGCGUGGGGAGCGAACAGGAUUAGAUACCCGCGUAGUCCCUGUCUCUUAUAC
rnacentral:rRNA from 1 species